GAAACAGACUGCAGGACGUCCUUGGCUGAGGGAGCCCUGCCCAACUCAGAUCACUCUGGUCACCGGCAUGGCAGAGAGGCUCUGGGUGUCGGGAUGUUCACAGGAGGCCCAAGGACUGUUUGAGAUUCCGUUGAUCCUGAAGGCAGUGGACAGCUGCUUUUCACCAGGAGAGUGAAGUGCUCAGACUGGGGGACGGUUCAAGGAAUUUUAAAAAUGUGAACGCUGAGACACUUUGAAGACAGUCAUGACUAUGACCUUUGUGAGGGGUGACCUCUUGUGCUAUCCCUGUUGGAAGUUUGCUUCCUGGAACAUCUGGGAAUAGGAUUAUUGCUGACGCAAGACGAUAAAGAAUGAAGGAGAGGUCGGGCACAGUGGCUCACGCCUGUAAUCCCAGCUCUUUAAGAGGCAGAGGCGGGCAGAUCGCCUGAGGUCAGGAGUUCAAGACAAGCCUGGCCAACAUGGCGAAACCCUAUCUCCACUAAAAAUACAAACAUUAGCUGGGCGUGGUGGUGCAUGCCUUUAGUCCCAGCUACUUGGGAAGCUGAGGCAGGAGAAUCGCUUGAACCUGGGAGGUGGAGGUUGCACAGCCUGGGUGACAGAAGGAGACUCCGUCUCAAAACAAAAGGAAUGAAGCUUAAAGUAUUUUCAGAAAUCUGAGGGGAACAUCACCUGUGCUUUAUUGGUUAUUUUGACAAGUGAAAUAGAGGACAAACUGCUUUGAUUUGAGUUGAUGUCUACACAUGCGAACUCAUGAGAAACAGCAAAGCCCACAAUCUACAUGGACAUCAUCAUCGUUCAGGAACAGGCAUGGUCUCCAUUCUUUCCAUGCACAUGCCCCGGCUUCAAAAA
rnacentral:antisense_RNA from 1 species